CGAGUAAAGUGGCGCACGGGUGAGUAACGCGUGGGUGACCUACCCUGGAAUUUGGGAUAACACUGCGAAAGUGGUGCUAAUACCGGAUACGAUCCUUCAGCGAUGGAGGGUGAAAGUCGGCCUCUCGAAGAAGCUGAUGUUCUGGGAUGGGCUCGCGUCCUAUCAGCUAGUUGGUAGGGUAAUGGCCUACCAAGGCGACGACGGGUAGCUGGUCUGAGAGGAUGAUCAGCCACACUGGCACUGGAACACGGGCCAGACUCCUACGGGAGGCAGCAGUGAGGAAUUUUGCGCAAUGGGGGAAACCCUGACGCAGCAACGCCGCGUGGGUGAAGAAGGCCUUCGGGUCGUAAAGCCCUGUCAGGUGGGAAGAAUGUCCCCAGGGUGAACAAUUUUGGGGAGUGACGGUACCACCAGAGGAAGCACCGGCUAACUCCGUGCCAGCAGCCGCGGUAA
rnacentral:rRNA from 1 species